rnacentral:rRNA from 1 species
CCUUGGACCUGGGCUACACACGUGCUACAAUGGUCGGUACAAAGGGUUGCCAAGCCGCGAGGUGGAGCUAAUCCCAUAAACCGAUCGUAGUCCGGAUCGCAGUCUGCAACUCGACUGCGUGAAGUCGGAAUCGCUAGUAAUCGUGAAUCAGAAUGUCACGGUGAAUACGUUCCCGGGCCUU